rnacentral:rRNA from 1 species
UACGUAGGGGGCGAGCGUUGUCCGGAAUCAUUGGGCGUAAAGAGCGUGUAGGCGGCUUGGUAAGUCUGGUGUGAAAUCUUGGGGCUCAACCCCAAGCCUGCACUGGAUACUGCCUCGCUAGAGUCCGGGAGGGGAGAUCGGAAUUCCUAGUGUAGCGGUGAAAUGCGCAGAUAUUAGGAAGAACACCGGUGGCGAAGGCGGAUCUCUGGAACGGUACUGACGCUGAGACGCGAAAGCGUGGGGAGCGAACAGG